UCGGGUGGACAGGGAGACAGGUGGUGCAUGGUUGUCGUCAGCUCGUGUCGUGAGAUGUUGGGUUAAGUCCCGCAACGAGCGCAACCCUACGUUUAGUUGCUAACGCGUGAAGGCGAGCACUCUAGACGAACUGCCGUUGACAAAACGGAGGAAGUGGGAUGACGUCAAAUCAUCAUGCCCCUUAUGUUCUGGGCUACACACGUGCUACAAUGGCCGGUACAGACGGACGCAAAGCCGCGAGGUGGAGCAAAUCCUAAAAAGCCGGUCUCAGUUCGGAUUGCAGGCUGCAAUUCGCCUGCAUGAAGUCGGAAUCGCUAGUAAUCGCAGGUCAGCAUACUGCGGUGAAUACGUUCCCGGGCCUU
rnacentral:rRNA from 1 species